rnacentral:rRNA from 1 species
CCUACGGGUGGCAGCAGUGGGGGAUAUUGGACAAUGGGGGGAACCCUGAUCCAGCGACGCCGCGUGAGUGAAGAAGUAUCUCGGUAUGUAAAGCUCUGUCAGUAGGGAAGUAAGAAAUGACGGUACCUGACCAAGAAGUCCCGGCUAACUACGUGCCAGCAGCCGCGGUAAUACGUAGGGGGCAAGCGUUAUCCGGAAUUACUGGGUGUAAAGGGAGCGUAGACGGUUAAGUAAGUCUGGUGUGAAAGGCCGGGGCCCAACCCCGGGACUGCUAUGGAUACUAUUGGACUUGAGUGCAGGAGAGGUAAGCGGAAUUCGUAGUGUAGCGGUGAAAUGCGUAGAUAUUAGGAAGAACACCAGUGGCGAAGGCAGCUUACUAGACUGUAACUGACGUUGAGGCUCGAAAGCGUGGGGAGCAAACAGGAUUAGAUACCCUUGUAGUC